GAACUGCGGAAGGAUCAUUG
rnacentral:rRNA from 4 species